rnacentral:rRNA from 1 species
CCUACGGGAGGCAGCAGUGAGGAAUAUUGGUCAAUGGGCGGGAGCCUGAACCAGCCAAGCCGCGUGAGGGAAGAAGGUACAGCGUAUCGUAAACCUCUUUUGUCAGGGAACAAAGGCGGGGACUAGUCCCCGGAUGAGGGUACCUGAAGAAAAAGCAUCGGCUAACUCCGUGCCAGCAGCCGCGGUAAUACGGAGGAUGCGAGCGUUAUCCGGAUUUAUUGGGUUUAAAGGGUGCGCAGGCGGCCUGUUAAGUCAGCGGGAAAAGCCCGGGGCUAAACCCCGGCGAGCCGUUGAAACUGGCGGGCUGGAGUUGGAGAGAGGGACGCGGAAUGCGCGGUGUAGCGGUGAAAUGCUUAGAUAUCGCGCAGAACCCCGAUUGCGAAGGCAGCGUACCGGCUCCACACUGACGCUGAGGCACGAAAGCGUGGGUAUCGAACAGGAUUAGAUACCCCGGUAGUC